rnacentral:rRNA from 1 species
GCGUUAUUCGGAAUUAUUGGGCGUAAAGCGUCUGUAGGUGGUAAGGAAAGUGUAAUGUUAAAGAUCAGGGCUCAACCCUGGGAAAGCAUUGCAAACUAUCUUACUUGAGUUCGGUAGGGGCAGAGAGAAUUCCCAGUGUAGCGGUGAAAUGCGUAGAUAUUGGGAGGAAGACCGGUGGCGAAGGCGUUCUGCUGGGCCGUAACUGACACUCAGAGACGAAAGCUAAGGUAGCAAAUAGGAUUAGAUACCCUAGUAGUCUUAGCUGUAAACGAUGCACACUAUGUUUUGCAAUUUGCAGAGCAAUAGCUAACGCGUUAAGUGUGCCGCCUGGGGAGUACAUUCGCAAGGAUGAAACUCAAAGGAAUUGACGGGGACCCGCACAAGCGGUGGAGCAUGUGGUUUAAUUCGAUGCAACGCGAAGAACCUUACCAAGAAUUGACAUGCUGCGAACGUUUACGAAAGUAAAAAGUCUAUUAACUUAGUUAAUAGCGCAGACACAGGUGGUGCAUGGUUGUCGUCAGCUCGUGCCGUGAGGUGUUAGGUUAAGUCCUGCAACGAGCGCAACCCUUGUCUUUAGUUAUAUUCUAGAGAGACUGCCGGUGACAAACCGGAGGAAGGUGAGGAUGACGUCAAAUCAGCAUGCCCCUUACAUCUUGGGCGACUCACGUGCUACAAUGGUCGGGACAAAGAGAUGCUACCCUGCGAAGGCAAGCUAACCUC